rnacentral:misc_RNA from 1 species
UAAUGGUGGUGGUGGUGGUGAUGGUGGGUUGAGAGAAAAAGAGAUGGACGUGGUGGCGAUGGAGUGGCGUUUUCUAUUAGUGGAGGAGAGAGCGGGGUAGGCAAAGAUGCGUGGGGUGGCGGAGAGCGAAAAAAUAUCCAUUAUUAUCCGUUGAAAAUUGCAAAGAGAAACUGAAGAGGAGCAGCAUGAUCGACCUUUGUUUUCUGCAAAGCCAAUGUUUGGUUCGACUCGAUAUUUUUCUCACUUCACUAAUAUUUAUUGUUUUGAAAUAUUGUAAUUAUUCAAUAAUUUGUUAUUCCUUCAUUUUAUUCUUAAAUGCG